rnacentral:lncRNA from 1 species
ACCACUUUACUGAAGACAGGAGAGACGUUGGAGUGCCUUUUGUGCUCUAAAACAGUGCAUUGUCCAAUGGAUCGAACUGUGGGCAUGUUCUUGAUUGGGCCAAUGCCUACCCGACCCAAGCCCGGGCCUGGGCCUUACACGAAUCCUGUUGGGCCAAUCUGAAUUUAAUUGAAGCUUAGUGUUUCAAGUUUUAGCUAACAAUUAUGCCGGCGUGAAUUUAAUUGAAGCUUAAUAUUACAAAUUUUCGUACCAUGGCUUCAAUUUUUUAAUAAGUAUCAUAUAUUCUCGUUAACAAUCAU